AAAAAAGAAUUCCAACGGCUUCGCUUGAUUGCAACGGCGUGGUUUUGCUGUCGCUAAAAACUGGCAAUUCCCUUCGGCAAAGUUAUGCCGUCGCAAGAUUUGCAACCGAGUUGAUGCGCCGUUGCAAUGGGGGUAGCCAAACACUAUGAUUCUACUUCAGCGAAGGAUAGCCGUCGCAAAAUAAUGAAAGUUUGCCACUGACUCUACAUGCCGUCGCACGAAUAAGCAACUAUGCUACCCCAUUCUUCUACUAGAUCUGUUUUCUAAUUUAAAAGCCCUAUUUCCCUCAACCCUUUUCCCCCACAACCCCUCUUUCUCUUUCUCUCUGAUCUCGAUGUCACCCACCAAAUUGAGCUUCGAUGAACUUGGUGGCCACUGGGUUGACUUGGAUUCGGGAAUUAUUCUUUUUGGGUAUCUCAAUUCAGUUCCCUCUCUUGUCGAACCCGAUUCAAUGCCCGUUUGAGUGUGACCCGGCCGUUUUGUGGUUGGAGUUGUGGUAUAGGUAGAGGAGCUUUCUGGGUUUGGUAUGAUUUUUGUUUUUCUGAUUUGGUGGUUCUAUGAUUUCGAUCUUGGUGGUUCUGUAGGGGAGAAUAAAUCAAGAACUGUGGAGGAACGAUGAUAUGGGCGGCUGUUUCUGCUCUUACUCCUUAUAGACCAAACCAAACCAUCUUCCUUGCUCGUCAAAACGAGGGUCGGCCGUCGGCCGAAGAUCAAGAUCAGAAAUUGGUUCGUCUUUCAUUUCAUAUCUCACAUUCAAAUGGGUUCUCUUGCCAUAUGUAUUCCAUUCGUUUUUCUCUUUGAUUUAUGUACCAUGGUCAAUCCAAGUUUAGCUCAUACUACGUGCUCAACCUAGUUUUCUAUGUACUUGGAUGGAACAAAUCUUACGAACCUAGUUCUACUGCUCUUUAUGGUUCUAAAAUUUUCAGCCUGUUGAAGUAAUAAAAUUGCUAAAGCAUACUGAUUGUUAUUGUUGGUGGGAAAUCUGAAACAACUUUUUGCAUUGUUGGAGACCUGAUUAUGCUGUCAAGUGUUUAUAGUAUCAUGCUGUCAUUUUUUAUUUUGAUGGGUGUGUGGUAUAAUUGUAGUCUUCAAGUGGGGUGAUUUAGUUUGUGGAUUUUAUUGUGCUGUGUUUACGUAGCUUUGUUGUUAUAUUUUGUUUCUUGGUGGCUACAGGCCCAAGGACUGAAGAAUCAUUUUACAUAUGCUUCUUGUUGGAGCUUCAUUCCCUUCUUGAUCUUUUAUAUACUCAAGGUUUGCAGCUUUUCCAAAGUGACCAGUGUUUGCUAUCCUCGACCAUUACUUCUUGCUUUUCAAUAAGUAAUCUUGAAUGAUAAGUAAUUCCUACAAACUAGUAGAAGCUAUUGCUAAUUGAUUAUUUACUUUGCUAUCGAAUCUUUUACAUUGUUACAAAACUAGCUCUUGAUUUUUGAUUGCUGGAAAUUUUAAGGUGCACAUGAGAAACCAUAUUGGUAGUCUUGCUCUCCUUCCAAAGUUUUGGUUGCUGCAACGAAGCUACAUAUAUAUUAUAGAUGUUUAUAUCAUGUGCAGCUUUGCUAUCGAAAUCUGAUUUUCUUUCUUUACAUGCAUGCUAUUAAGUUUUGAAACUACUUUUCAAUUAUGAGGUUACUUGGAAGCAAGGUUCCACUUUUUGAUUACUCAGUCGUUUCAUCUAUGAGUUAAUGAAUUCAGACUUAUACACCAAUUUGAUGGUGUAUUUCUGGGAAUAUAUUUAAACUGUUGUUAUGAUUUCAAUUUAAUCUUUAUAUAUAUGGCUGUUGAGUCCACUUCUUAUCACUUGAUUGUUGUUUAAUGGUGUUCAUAAUUCCUUGACAUUUCUUUCAAAAAGCUACAAGUUUUACUGUACUUCCAAGGUAUUGGAUUAUGAUUUUAAUGAACUUUUCUGCUGCUGAUUCAUUGUUAGUCCAAUUUUUCUCCAUUGGUCAUUGGUAUGAUAAUUGAAAAAUGGCUAUGUCCUGCACGGAUGGUAAAGGAGUAAUGAAUAAUGGCAAGUAUGUGAGGUACAAACCUGAGCAGGUUGUUGAAGCCCUUGAGAGGUUUUAUCAUGAAUGCCCCAAACCCAGUUCGAUUCGUCGCCAACAGCUCAUUAAGGAGUACCCAAUUCUCUCUAACAUUGAGCCUAGCCAAAUCAAAGUUUGGUUCCAGAACAGAAGAUGCAAAGAAACUAACAUGGAGGGAUCCACUUUGAAGUGUUUGGCAAUUAUUUUUGUUCAUUACAAGUGUUUGGCUUGUUGAUUACUUUGGUGUGAUUAUCAAAUUUAUUCCUGUAUGUAUAUCAAAGCUAACCUGGAGAUAUCCACUUGAAGGUGCAUGUGUACAUCAAGUGGUGUGCGACUAAAAAAGACAUCGACCAAUUUGCUCAGGAACUAAUUGCAACGGUCUUCAUGAUAAUGAACGGAAAUUCAGACAUAUAUUUCGAGGAGACUUGUAGCAACACUAAAGUAAUUGGUACGUGAAGUAGAUCAAGGAAGAUCCGUGCAAAGUUUAUCUUGAAGUAGAGGAAGAUAACUACCUUGUAAAAGUUAAUUAUCUUGUAAACUUUGGUAGAAGCAUCAUUCCUUUGUGACAUCCAUGACAAAAAUUAAAAUGUAACACUUUUUUUAUAUAAGCUUCAUUCCUUUUUGUAUAGCUUGUAUUAAAAAAACAAAACAAAAAAAAUUGGCAUGCAUAUUUGCAUGCCAGAUUUUUUUUA